AAGAGGCGCUGUUCAAACGCGCAGAAUGCUUGCUUUAAGAAACGUGUGAUCAGAGGAAGGAUGCUGAAUCCCGGUUCCGCUGCUUUGGGUACCAAAAUCUUGCGAAGCGACACCAGCUUUACUCUGCUGCUGGAAUGUGAUGUGAAGUUCUGCUCACUCCACUCUCAGCACAAGUCCUGAAUUAGAGAAAGCCCUAAGAAGUACACCUAAAAUGAUUAGAGAAAUGAUGGAAGGAGAAAUUUACUUGGCCUUCAUCUCUCUGGUAACUUGAUCUUCAGUCCCUUCCAAAAUCCCUGUUCUGGCAUGGAACCUUCAGAGUAGUAUAUAUUAACUUAUUUUAGCAUAAUUUAUAGCACACUAUAUAUGACAUCCCUGAUCCUCCUUCCCCUGUCUUUUUUUUUCUUUUUUCUUUUUUUAGGCCACACCCAGUGAUCAAACCCAGGCCCCGGCAGUGGAAGCAUGGAGUCCUAACUAUUGGACCACCAGGGAAUUCCCCCUUUGCAUUGCUUUAACCAAUCCUAACAAACUCAUUAAUCCCAAAGUUAAUAUUUAUUAACUCAAGAGGGGUUUGGACAAAUGUAUGAAUGAUAACUAUUACUUAAAAGAAGCUAUUACAUGCCUAAUCUUCAAUGUUGAUGACAAUAAGCACUAUUAUGUUCUCUCUUGGUUAGAAUCCCUGCUAUGAUACUUACAAGAUGCAAGAUAGACAGGUCGUUAAAGCUCUCAAACUCUCAGAUUUCUCAUCUAUAAACAAGGGAUCAUAACAUUAUUAGCUAUCUCAUAAGAUUGUAGUGAGGAUUACGUGAGAUAUUUACAUAAAACACAUAGUAUAUUAUAACAGUUUGUUUUUUCUGGGUUCACUUUACCGAUAGAACACUGAGCUGAGUGAACCAUGAAUUAUCAGCGUAGCAGUUCUUAAAUUCCUCUGUACUAUUGUGCUACCAGCACUAAUAGACAUUUUCCUCUGUGCUGCUCUUGAAGUUACAUCCUUAUUGACUCACCCCAUGUUUCUGCCUCUCCUAACUCUUGUGUUUUCACUAUAUGAUCCAGUAACUUGAUUCCAAUUCUUGCUUACUGUCUCUAAUGCAAUCCCAGCUUUUGACCUCUGUGUUUCUAGUAUGUUUACCUGAUAUCAUGAAAUCCAUUUAAAUAUCUGUUCCAAAUCCUUCUUAAAAAAUAUAUCUUAGAUGUUUUGCUUUGUGUAAGCAACACAGGUCUGUUAAAAGUCCUGAAGAGUUUUUAUUACAGUAGUAUGUAAAAGAUACAGAUUGCUGAAUUUUGCUUAGUUUACCUUGGCCAAAGGAAAGUAAAUAAAACAUGACAUUAAAUUAUUAAACCUGUUACGUCCAGUUAGAAAAUAUAAGGUUGAGGAAGAGUUUUUAGUCUUCUUUAGUAUUACAUUGGAAAG
rnacentral:lncRNA from 1 species